rnacentral:piRNA from 1 species
UCCACAAUGGUUUGAGAAUAC